GCUCAGGUAGCUCAACUGGUAGAGCACAGAACUGAAGAUUCUGGGGAAUUGGUUCAAGUCCAGUCCCGAGCA